rnacentral:rRNA from 1 species
UGACAUCUUACUAUUGUCAGGAAAACAACAAGUGCAGACUUGGAAACGAGGGAGAAUAGAACCCGGAAGUUAAGCGUGCUCAGGCUGGAGUAGUGCAAGGAUGGGUGACCGUCCAGGAAGUUAGAUGAUUUGGAAU